UUACGGAGGAUGCGAGCGUUAUCCGGAUUUAUUGGGUUUAAAGGGAGCGUAGGCGGGAGCUUAAGUCAGCGGUUAAAUGGUGCGGCUCAACCGUGCCCUGCCGUUGAAACUGGGUUUCUUGAGAGUGCAAGAGGCGGAUGGAAUUCAUGGUGUAGCGGUGAAAUGCUUAGAUAUCAUGAAGAACUCCGAUUGCGAAGGCAGUCCGCUGGGGCACGUCUGACGCUGAUGCCCGAAGGUGCGGGAAUCAAACAGGAUUAGAUACCCUGGUAGUCCGCACGGUAAACGAUGAUUACCCGCUGUCGGCGGCAGACAGUCGGCGGCCAAGCGAAAGCGAUAAGUAAUCCACCUGGGGAGUACGCCGGCAACGGUGAAACUCAAAUGAAUUGACGGGG
rnacentral:rRNA from 1 species